UACAGAGGGGGCAAGCGUUGUUCGGAAUUACUGGGCGUAAAGGGCGCGUAGGCGGCCUUCUAAGUCGAACGUGAAAUCCCCGGGCUCAACCCGGGAACUGCGUCCGAGACUGGAAGGCUCGAAUCCGGGAGAGGGAUGUGGAAUUCCAGGUGUAGCGGUGAAAUGCGUAGAUAUCUGGAGGAACAUCGGUGGCGAAGGCGGCAUCCUGGACCGGUAUUGACGCUGAGGCGCGAGAGCCAGGGGAGCAAACGGG
rnacentral:rRNA from 1 species